AUGUAGCUCAGUUGUAGAAUGCUUGCCUAGCAUGCGUGGAGCCCUGGAAUCAACACCCGGUGUGGGGGUUUCAAUGAGUAUGGCCCUUCAUAGGCUCUUCUAUUUGGAUGCCUUCUCUACAGUUGGUGAAACUAUUUAGGAAGGGUUAGGAGGUGUGGCCUUGUUGGAGGGGGUGUGUCAUUCCCAGGUAGACUCUUCCUCUCUGGCUCUAACUUUUAGAUGAAGUAUAAGCACAUGAACUGAUAAAAUCAGGUAUGGUGCCUCAUACCUGGAAUCCCAGAACUUAGGAGAUGGAGGCCAGAGGGCCAGAAGUUCAAGGUCAUCCUUAGCUCCAUUUCUGGUUUUAAGCCAGCCUGGGAUACAUGUAUGAAAUACUGAAUAAACAACAACAACCUUAAUGUAAAUUAUGACGUUUUGACCAAAUAAUCCUGCAAAAAGGAUUAUUAUCUCAGCAUUGUGAGAGGAUUCUUCAUUUUUCUUUUUCUUUUCUUUUUUUUUUUUUUUUUUCAAGAUGGGCUUUCUCUGUGUAGCCCUGGCUGUCCUGGAACUUACUUUGUAGAACGGGUUAUCCUAAAUCUCACAGAGACCUGCCUGCCUCUGUCUCUGCAGUGCGGAGAUGAAAGGUGUUUGUCACCACACCCAUCUGAGACGAUCCUUUGUGUUACCCAGGAGAGGGACAGGAAACUCAGAAAUUUACCUGCCUCUGCCUCCCGAGUGUUGGGAUUAAAGGAGUGCACCACCAUGUCCGGCAAAAGUUGUUUUUUUUCUCACAUGUCCCAUUUGGUUCUCCCAUAGCCGCACAAAUCCAGAUGCUUCCAUCUUGAGCUAAGCCCAUCAGAACCGCAGCUGCCCAUUCGGCACAGCCCCUGGGGAAUGUGUGGAAACUUUUUAAGGACCAGGCCUUGAAGUGGUUCAUCACUUUCUCCCACAUCCCACAGACCAGAACUGGUCACAUGGUUAUCAUUUCAUUGCCAACAAGGCAGGGCCGUGGGGAGUGGCACACGGGCACUCGGGGAACACUGUAGCUGUGUUCCCUGGAACUUCCAUCCCAGAACAAAUUCCAGGAUGUCUUGUUCUUUGCUGACCUUGUGAAGAAAUGUCAUGGAGAGUUGUGAUGGCCGUCCUUGGUUGUCAACUUCACCACAUCUGGAAUAAUUAACUAAAACCCAAGCAAGUGGGUACUCCUGUGAGAGAUUUGUCUUAAAUCAUUUGAAGUGGGUAGACCAACUUUAAUCUGGAUCUUUUGAGGUGGGGAAAAUCCGCCAUACUAUCUGGCGGGAACCUAUGUAAAGGACAUGGAAAAAAGACGGUUUUUGUUUGUUUGUUUGUUUGUUUGUUUUGUUUUUAAUUUGCCUGCUUGCUCUCAUUCUCACCAACAAGGCUGUGUCUUCACUGUCAUUAGAGCCCACUUCUUCAGGAUUCUGGUGUGUACUAGACAUCCAGCCUUGUGGACUGAACAACUACUGGGUUCUAGGAGUUUUCCUCGGUAGGUAGCUAUUGUUGGGCUAGCUGGACCACAGCCUGACUAAUACAAAUGAGGCGCCAAUUCACCCUCCUGCGCUUUCUCAAGCAGCUGCAAGCCCUGUUCUCUGCCAUAACAUCCAGAGCAGAUCAUGUUCACUUACCCCAGUGGCUUUGCCCACAGAUGUCCCCAAACCCAAAUAUCCAUUCGUGGGAAAGCCUCAAGACUUUUUAAAAAAUGUUGGCUGCUAUUCAUAAAAGCAUACAAAGGCAUGUGAGCAGCAAUAUAAAAUUAGACGUGUCAAGAUCUUCGCCAGCUGCACUGUGGCCGGACUUGGCAGCAGUCGUCCCUGAUGUUCCGUGUCACUGUCUCCUUCCACCGCCUCUCUCCUUCAGGGACACAUAGGCCAAGUGAGGAGAAGAGGCAGAGGAUGAUAAGGGGCGGGAGAAAGGGAACCUCUCCCCCCGCCCCCCGUGUUCUGUCUCAACUUUGGCAAACAUCUGGGCUUGAAGCAUUCUUAACCUCGAGGUUCGUCUGACUGUGAAGACCUUAUGGGUUUGAAGGCUUGGGGCUGGUGUGCUGGCUGUAUGCUCUUGCAUGGCAACUUUGCACUCAGGAGCCAGAGGACAGUUGGGAUUUGGUCUGCUGUCACAGCAUGGUGUCUCCCGGCAAGGUGCCAAACUAAAGGAUGGGAAACAUUUGUGUGCACACCAGAAGGAGUCAUCUGAGGCCGGGAGAGCAGGUGGGUUCAGCCUUCCAGGUCACCUUUAGUGGACUAGCUCUCUGCACCCAGAUGACAGCAUCCAAGAGCAAGAAGCUCAACUCGUACAUAGCACCACUACUCUCCCUCUGUGUCUCUAUCUGUGGGAUCAAUGAUACACCAUGUUUGCUUUAAUAUACCAUCUCACCACGUGGCUAGCCCAAGUUGGCCUUAAAUGAUCAGAAAUCUUCCUGCCUCAGACUCUCAGGUGCUGGGACUUGAGAUGACAUUCGCUAUGACUCUUUAGUAAAACAAAACAACAGCAACAACAACAACAAAAAAAAACCCUGUAAUUGUGGCCACUUGUGUGCCCUCGGGUCUUUUUGGUUCAGUGCCCUAACCUGAGCAUCUUCCAUUGAGCUUUAUGUUGAUAGUCUCUUUUUAGGAGAGUAUAAAUCAAGCCUUUUAAAAAC
rnacentral:lncRNA from 1 species